AUUGAACGCUGGCGGCAUGCCUUACACAUGCAAGUCGAACGGUAACGCGGGGCAACCUGGCGACGAGUGGCGAACGGGUGAGUAAUGCAUCGGAACGUGCCCAGAAGUGGGGGAUAGCCCGGCGAAAGCCGGAUUAAUACCGCAUGAGACCUGAGGGUGAAAGCGGGGGAUAGCAAGACCUCGCGCUUUUGGAGCGGCCGAUGUCAGAUUAGCUAGUUGGUGGGGUAAAGGCCUACCAAGGCGACGUUCUGUAGCUGGUUUGAGAGGACGACCAGCCACACUGGGACUGAGACACGGCCCAGACUCCUACGGGAGGCAGCAGUGGGGAAUUUUGGACAAUGGGCGCAAGCCUGAUCCAGCCAUGCCGCGUGCGGGAAGAAGGCCUUCGGGUUGUAAACCGCUUUUGUCAGGGAAGAAACGCUCUGGGCUAAUACCCUGGGGUAAUGACGGUACCUGAAGAAUAAGCACCGGCUAACUACGUGCCAGCCGCCGCGGUAA
rnacentral:rRNA from 1 species